AACGACGGGCGCUAUAAAAGGGUGUGCUUUCACUUACACGUUCCUGUAAGUAACGCUAGACAGGGGUCGUUCAACAUGAAUAACUUGCAUGUAGUUUUUCUGCUGGUCGUGUUAGUUAUGGGACCACAGCUCUCCUCAGGAGGUUGCUUCCCGUCGGCCAAGCUACGUCGAAACAGUUUACUACAGCUACUAGUGUAUCGGGAGCAUUAUGCAACUGCGAUUAAACGUAGUGCUGGUGAGAGGUGUUGUCCUGCUGGAUACAGAUACGACGGAUGUCGAUGUGUAAAAUCAAGCGUACACGUUAAUCCUUCCUCUCUCACUGGGAUUAAAGCAAGUUUAUGAAAAAAGGGUUCGUGUUCCUUAUUUUUAAGACCGUUUUUCAUUCGAUUGAUGAGGUAUAAUAUGUGAUAUCUAUCCAAAUUAAUCAAUUAAAAUUCAACAGAAUA